CCUACGGGUGGCAGCAGUGAGGAAUAUUGGUCAAUGGACGAGAGUCUGAACCAGCCAAGUCGCGUGAAGGAUGACUGCCCUAUGGGUUGUAAACUUCUUUUAUAAAGGAAUAAAACGAGGCACGUGUGCCUUUUUGCAUGUACUUUAUGAAUAAGGAUCGGCUAACUCCGUGCCAGCAGCCGCGGUAAUACGGAGGAUCCGAGCGUUAUCCGGAUUUAUUGGGUUUAAAGGGAGCGUAGAUGGGUUGUUAAGUCAGUUGUGAAAGUUUGCGGCUCAACCGUAAAAUUGCAAUUGAUACUGGCAGUCGUGAGUACGUUUGAGGUAGGCGGAAUUCGUGGUGUAGCGGUGAAAUGCUUAGAGAUCACGAAGAACCCCGAUUGCGAAGGCAGCUUACUAAACUGUGACUGACGUUGAUGCUCGAAAGUGUGGGUAUCAAACAGGAUUAGAUACCCGAGUAGUC
rnacentral:rRNA from 1 species